CCAUGUGUCAAACCGUGUGCCACAAACACACACACACACACACCCUCAAUGUAUUUUUUUCUUUCUCUCGGAUAACACACACACACUUCUCCCUCAUUCCACACACACACACACGCACACACCCUCCAUCUACAGAGAUCGGAGAUCUCUCUUCUCCCAAACACACACACACACACAGAGAUCGGAGAUCUCUCUUCUCCAUUCUCCGAUCUCUCUUCUCCCUUCUCCGAUCUCUCUUCUCCCUUCUCCGAUCUCUCUUCUCCCAAACACCCACAUACAAAGAGAGAUCUCCGAUCUCUCUUCUCCCAAACACACACACACACACAGAGAUCUCUCGAUCUCUCUUCUCCCUUCGCCGUUGAUCGUGGCUCUGGCGAAGUCGGAGUUGGCUCAGUCGUCUCUGGCGGUGCGCCACUGAGCAAGGAUCACGUUCAGUCAUCUGGUUCGUCUUCGUCUUCGUCAGGUUUUUGGGACGAAAUCGGCCCGGGAAUAGGCACACCGUCUCCAGCGUUCUUCUCCGACGUCGCCUCGGAGUCCGAUUGCACCAAACUCAAAAAAAUUUCGCCGAUAUUUCCAAAAUAUCGCCAUAUUAUCGAUAUUAUCGAUAAUAUCGCGAUAUUUGGCUAAAAACCAUUCGGAUACCACUUAGAAUAUCCAUCACCCGAAAAACCGAUAAUAUCGGCGAUAUUUCGCCGAUAUUAUCGGCAUUUUCUUCCAUGAAUCUAACAACAUUCCAAUAUUAUCUACUUUAUAUACGAUUUAAAAAUAAUAAUAUCCCACACAUAAUAAUCAUCUAUCAAACAGUCCAAGUAGGAAAUAGUUACAACUUACAAUAUGAGCUGAAUAAGGAAAAUGCUAGUUAAAGAGACCAUUUUUUAGACCAUACUAGCAUUUUUGCAUGCACUCACACACAUUCAAAAGACCUUUUUUUAAUCACAGGGCUCUACGUGUGAGUUAUAGAGCUUUACUGCAUUCAUCUAUGUAGAACGUUUGUGAUUUGAUACAUGUUUUUAUAAAUAUGAAAAAUGAAAUUUACUAAACUGACUAUUAUGUUUCGGUGCAACGACAGUAGCACAUUUACAUAAUAAGGCUCAUGUCUUAGUAGUUUAAAGAAAUAAAAACAACUUUUGAACUAA